UACAGAGGUCUCAAGCGUUGUUCGGAUUCAUUGGGCGUAAAGGGUGCGUAGGCGGUGGGGCAAGUCAGGUGUGAAAUCCCGGAGCUCAACUCUGGAACUGCACUUGAUACUGCCUUACUAGAGUACUGGAGAGGAGACUGGAAUUUACGGUGUAGCAGUGAAAUGCGUAGAUAUCGUAAGGAAGACCAGUGGCGAAGGCGGCGACCUGGGUCGAUACUGACGCUGAUGCGCGAAAGCGUGGGGAGCAAACAGG
rnacentral:rRNA from 1 species